AGGCCGCUUGUCCAACAGCCCCUUGCCCCACGCGGAGGGAGGCCAAGACACAGCUCCUGUCCCGGGAAGGUCUGACUCUGAGGGCAGGACCCUGCCCCUACCCCAGGGAGCCCAGAGGGUAAGGGGAGAUGCCAUCUCAGCCCUGCCUUGACCCUUUGAACAAUGGCUGAGUGACCCAACUGAGUUUCCUUGGUUGGAACUUCGGUAAGCCCUCCCUCUCUAAAAACUUGGAUGCCUACUACCUUCGCUGUGUGAUUUCCUCUGCUCCUGGCCAACUCAGAUUUCCAGACUUACUUUAAAAUACAUGUGGAAAAACUGGACAAGAACAGAGGAAUCUCAAGGAAGAAUGACUUAAGGAAUUGAGUUGAGGAAGCUGAACCCCAGAGGAUUCAGACUGCCUACGUUUGAAUCCUGCCUCUGCAAUUUACCAGCCAUACUACCCUGUCACUCUAAUUCGUGUUUAUAUGGACUUGAAGAUUAUGAAAUAGACAUGCACCUGAAAAAAAAUUAGUCCUGGUUCUACUACUUACCAACUAUGGGAUCUUAGAACUUUGCAAGUUUGUUUUCAGCACAACUGAUCUCAGAGCCUUAUUACACCAACGUAUAUUGGACUCUUCAACGGAAUAUGAAUCCUAUCCAGAAUUCCACAUCACAUUUAGCCAUAAUAUCUCCUUAGGUUCCUCUUGGCUGUGAUGGUUUCGCAGACACUCCUUGUUUUUGAUGACCUUGAAAGUUUUGAGGAGUUCCAGUUAGUCAAGGUAUUCAGUGUCUCACCAGGAAGGACAAGCCACUACUCUUCAUAAUCACCCACCCACCAGCCCACUGCUAUGAGUUAUAGAGCUCCAGCUCAGACAUCAUCUUUCCUGAGCUCCACACACAUCGAUGGAUUCUUGCUGAACCUCUCCACCUGAAUUGCCAACAGGUACCUCCAUGUCAUCAUGU